rnacentral:rRNA from 1 species
UACAGAGGUCUCAAGCGUUGUUCGGAUUCAUUGGGCGUAAAGGGUGCGUAGGCUGUGAGGCAAGUCGGGUGUGAAAUCCCGGGGCUCAACCCCGGAACUGCAUCCGAUACUGCCUCGCUGGAGGACUGGAGAGGGGACUGGAAUUCUCGGUGUAGCAGUGAAAUGCGUAGAUAUCGAGAGGAACACCGGUGGCGAAGGCGUGUCCCUGGACAGAUCCUGACGCUGAGGCACGAAGGCCAGGGGAGCAAAC